rnacentral:rRNA from 1 species
GUCGAGCGGAAACGAGUUAUCUGAACCUUCGGGGAACGAUAACGGCGUCGAGCGGCGGACGGGUGAGUAAUGCCUAGGAAAUUGCCCUGAUGUGGGGGAUAACCAUUGGAAACGAUGGCUAAUACCGCAUGAUGCCUACGGGCCAAAGAGGGGGACCUUCGGGCCUCUCGCGUCAGGAUAUGCCUAGGUGGGAUUAGCUAGUUGGUGAGGUAAGGGCUCACCAAGGCGACGAUCCCUAGCUGGUCUGAGAGGAUGAUCAGCCACACUGGAACUGAGACACGGUCCAGACUCCUACGGGAGGCAGCAGUGGGGAAUAUUGCACAAUGGGCGCAAGCCUGAUGCAGCCAUGCCGCGUGUGUGAAGAAGGCCUUCGGGUUGUAAAGCACUUUCAGUCGUGAGGAAGGUAGUGUAGUUAAUAGCUGCAUUAUUUGACGUUAGCGACAGAAGAAGCACCGGCUAACUCCGUGCCAGCAGCCGCGGUAAUACGGAGGGUGCGAGCGUUAAUCGGAAUUACUGGGCGUAAAGCGCAUGCAGGUGGUUUGUUAAGUCAGAUGUGAAAGCCCGGGGCUCAACCUCGGAAUAGCAUUUGAAACUGGCAGACUAGAGUACUGUAGAGGGGGGUAGAAUUUCAGGUGUAGCGGUGAAAUGCGUAGAGAUCUGAAGGAAUACCGGUGGCGAAGGCGGCCCCCUGGACAGAUACUGACACUCAGAUGCGAAAGCGUGGGGAGCAAACAGGAUUAGAUACCCUGGUAGUCCACGCCGUAAACGAUGUCUACUUGGAGGUUGUGGCCUUGAGCCGUGGCUUUCGGAGCUAACGCGUUAAGUAGACCGCCUGGGGAGUACGGUCGCAAGAUUAAAACUCAAAUGAAUUGACGGGGGCCCGCACAAGCGGUGGAGCAUGUGGUUUAAUUCGAUGCAACGCGAAGAACCUUACCUACUCUUGACAUCCAGAGAACUUUCCAGAGAUGGAUUGGUGCCUUCGGGAACUCUGAGACAGGUGCUGCAUGGCUGUCGUCAGCUCGUGUUGUGAAAUGUUGGGUUAAGUCCCGCAACGAGCGCAACCCUUAUCCUUGUUUGCCAGCGAGUAAUGUCGGGAACUCCAGGGAGACUGCCGGUGAUAAACCGGAGGAAGGUGGGGACGACGUCAAGUCAUCAUGGCCCUUACGAGUAGGGCUACACACGUGCUACAAUGGCGCAUACAGAGGGCGGCCAACUUGCGAAAGUGAGCGAAUCCCAAAAAGUGCGUCGUAGUCCGGAUUGGAGUCUGCAACUCGACUCCAUGAAGUCGGAAUCGCUAGUAAUCGUGGAUCAGAAUGCCACGGUGAAUACGUUCCCGGGCCUUGUACACACCGCCCGUCACACCAUGGGAGUGGGCUGCAAAAGAAGUAGGUAGUUUAACCUUCGGGGGGACGCU